GUUUCCAUAGUGUAGUGAUUAUCACGUUCACCUAACAAACAAAAGGUCCUUAAUUCAAAACCAGGCAGAAGCA